rnacentral:rRNA from 1 species
UAUAUUCGAUAAGUCAUAACGACUCUCGGCAACGGAUAUCUCGGCUCUCGCAUCGAUGAAGAACGUAGCAAAAUGCGAUACGUGGUGUGAAUUGCAGGAUCCCGUGAACCAUCGAGUUUUUGAACGCAAGUUGCGCCCGAAGCCUUUAGGCCGA